rnacentral:tRNA from 1 species
GGGGCCAUAGCUCAGCUGGGAGAGCACUACGCUGGCAGCGUAGAGGUCAGGGGUUCGAGCCCCCUUGGCUCCA